rnacentral:ncRNA from 1 species
UUAAAUCUUGUGAUUGGAAGAGUAGGUACUGUGAUUGUUGUACAGCGAGCCGGCGGCGGUGGGAGCCCGGCACAUAGCUUUGCCGAAACGUAUCCAUGAAGAGGUUUUUCCAAAGGCAUGCCAGCGGUAUGCGUGAGUAGAAAAACCCGGCCAGCCCGUUAAAGCGUUCGAGAUAAAAUGGCAGCAAUAUUGCCAUUUUAAAAAGAGUGGUACCGCGAAACAGCUUUCGUCUCUUUG